ACGGCAGCUCCUUCCAGGCUUGCUCCCCAAUCCUGUCGUGCUUCCAGGAGCCUUUUGAUGACACUACUAUGUACAAACAAGCUGUAGACCUGAUGGCCUAGAGAUGAUCAGCCGAGGGAAGACCCUAGAAUCACGGGAGGGAAAGGAAAGGGGAAGAGAAGCAGCAUUUAUUAAGUGCCUAGUAGGCACUAUCCUAAAAACUUUACAAAUAUUAAUUCAUGUGAGAUAAAAAGGGUUCCCAGGUCAUGAAGCACUCCAGCCACCUUUCCUCUGAUCUUAUGUUUGCUUUCUGUGGGACUGCUUUUUCAAUAUUUUCACACAAUUGCUUUUUUUCAUCAGUGGCCUCUUCAGAGCUCUACAUAGCUAUAAAUUCAGUGAAUAUUUCUAAUCCUACUUGAAUUUCUUUACCAUCAUUCCCUCUAAAAAGGAGGAAGAAAAUAUUUAAUCAAAUACGGGUUGUUUUUUCCUUCAUUAUUCAGGGAAAACUAAUUCAUCCUGAGCUCCACGUAGAGGUCUUGAUCUACUCCUGUUUGGCAAAAGAUAUUUUCUUCACCCGAUCGGCCUCCCACAGAUAAUCAUUCAUCUCACCGCCCUUCCUAAAACGAGCACAAUACCAGUGAUGGUAGGGCCAUCACUCCCUUGUUCCGGCCGCUCCAUUUGUUAGGGCUGCCAAGCGUGCUUUCAUUUUCUUGGCUCUCAAACCAGACUUGACUCAUCCUGAGCUAAUCCUCUCCCCGCCCCCAUCCUGCUGCAUCUCCCAUGUCCUGUCCUUGUGGAGCCAAUUGUACUGACGUGUAUUUCUUCCCAUCAUUUUGUUGAGGUUGGGAAAGGGGACCCCAAAAGUACGGGGUCACAGACCGGUGUCCCGAGGCGUCUCAAAAGAAUUUGCAGGCUUGAAUCCAUCUCCUAUCAAGGGGCAAAGUUUAUUGUAACCUUACAAAGCGGCCUUGGAUUUCUAAAGGAAACGAGCAGAGAAGCAAGGAGACAUUCAUCCAGCUUCUGGCACUGAUGGGCUGAUUCUGCGGCUGUAGGUAGGAAGGAAUGUGGUUCUCCUUGGCCAGAUGAUUGCCGCCAGGGUACCAGUCAGCAGUGAGUUGAGGAGGGGUCGGGAUCUCGGCUGUCUCCAGUUUGAUCGGGCGACCAUUGGGAGGCCAGGAGGUUAUGAGGGGAGGGCUCAGAAUCCGGUUGGGUGUGGGAGCUUUCUGAGGCAGGCUCCAAAGCCAGAAAAUGCAGAAUCACCUACUCCUCCCCAAAUCAGGGGGCCACAAAAUCUUACUCCAUCAGUUUCAUUGGCAGAAUCGGACUGAGAGGGGAGACACCCCAGUGAUCAGCACCUGUCCCCCAGCUUGGGACCCCCAUGUAAUGCUGGCCCCCCCCCCGGUUCUCCGCAGCCUGAGUCUGGCCCCACCCCAGGGCCUUCACUGGGGCCAAGGGCCCAGGGGCGGAUUCCAACCACGCCCGGCCCUAGGAAAAAAGGCAGCCGGAGAGCAGAGACGCUCAUCCUCAC
rnacentral:lncRNA from 1 species